rnacentral:misc_RNA from 1 species
UCGUAACAAGGUCUCCGUUGGUGAACCAGCGGAGGGAUCAUUACCGAGUUUACAACUCCCAAACCCCUGUGAACAUACCUUAAUGUUGCCUCGGCGGAUCAGCCCGCGCCCGGUAAAACGGGACGGCCCGCCAGAGGAUCCAAACUCUUGCUGUUAUUGUAACUUCUGAGUAAAACAAACAAAUAAAUCAAAACUUUCAACAACGGAUCUCUUGGUUCUGGCAUCGAUGAAGAACGCAGCAAAAUGCGAUAAGUAAUGUGAAUUGCAGAAUUCAGUGAAUCAUCGAAUCUUUGAACGCACAUUGCGCCCGCCAGUAUUCUGGCGGGCAUGCCUGUUCGAGCGUCAUUUCAACCCUCAAGCCCCCGGGUUUGGUGUUGGGGAUCGGCAAGCCUUCUGGCGAGCCGCCCCCUAAAUCUAGUGGCGGUCUCACUGCAGCCUCCAUUGCGUAGUAGCUAACACCUCGCAACUGGAACGCGGUGCGGCCAUGCCGUUAAACCCCCAACUUCUGAAUGUUGACCUCGGAUCAGGUAGGAAUACCCGCUGAACCUAAGCAUAUCA